rnacentral:lncRNA from 1 species
UGAAAACUCUGAAAGACAAAUAACAAAACUUCUCUCUGAUAUAUAGUGAAUGUGUGUGUAUGUCUGUGUGUCACACAUGAGUAUGUAUAAGGAGACAUAGAGGAAUUACAGGUGGUGAAGGAUGGGGAUGACAAAGCAUACAUAGGGCAUACAUGACAAUAAAAGGCAUUAUGAUGAAGGCGUCAUAUUUAUUACAGCUGUUAGGGUUGCCAUGUCCUCAGCCUGAAGCUUUUAGCACAAAACGUAGGGUGAACAUCAUUUCAACACAUUACUUAUUAACUGACAUGUCCAGCAUCUCCAGGAGAAAAGUAUCUCGUUCAUUUUCCCAAAGACUAAAAUUCAGUUCUAUAAAACAAUUACAUAUUAGAACUCUGGGUGCUUCUAAGAUCAAUUCUAGAAUCUUAAAAUUCUUACUAGCACUUGAAAACCUCCUGUUCACUCUUUCACUGAAGAUUUUGACAGAGCAGGCUGCUACAGUUCCAUGUGUGCUACAGAAAAUUUAAACACUUCUAAAUCAGAGAAGCCAGAGGGUGGUCAGGAAGAGGAUUGGAGGUGAAGCAUGCUAAAACAGCAUCUAGUUGAUGAAGUCUAGGCAGGUAAGGCUAGAAUUUAAGUGGCCAGUGAUGAGGCUGUGAAUCAUCAUGGAAAUAGUAAGCCAAGAUUAGAUAACUUUAAUUAAAUACUAAAUCAGUCCAUAAUCAACAAAGAGCAGAAG